rnacentral:rRNA from 1 species
UACGUAGGGUGCAAGCGUUAAUCGGAAUUACUGGGCGUAAAGCGUGCGCAGGCGGUUUUGUAGUCUGUCGUGAAAUCCCCGGGCUCAACCUGGGAAUUGCGAUGGAGACUGCAAGGCUGGAGUCUGGCAGAGGGGGGUAGAAUUCCACGUGUAGCAGUGAAAUGCGUAGAGAUGUGGAGGAACACCGAUGGCGAAGGCAGCCCCCUGGGUCAAGACUGACGCUCAUGCACGAAAGCGUGGGGAGCAAACAGG